GUGCUUGCUUCGGCAGCACAUAUACUAAAACUGGAAUGAUACAGAAGAGAUUAGCAUGGCCCCUGUGCAAGGAUGACAUGCAAACUUGUGAAGCAUUCCAUAUUUUU
rnacentral:snRNA from 1 species